UGUGAGAUAAAGAUGAUUAGGGGAACUUA
rnacentral:piRNA from 1 species